GAUCAUGGCUCAGGAUGAACGCUGGCGGCGUGCCUAAUACAUGCAAGUCGAACGCUUCACAUAUGUGAAGAGUGGCGAACGGGUGAGUAAUACAUAAGUAACCUGGCCUUUACAGGGGGAUAACUGUUGGAAACGAUAGCUAAGACCGCAUAGGUGUGCAGAUCGCAUGAAGUGCACAUGAAAUAUGCUACGGCAUAGGUAGAGGAUGGACUUAUGGCG
rnacentral:rRNA from 1 species